UUUGAAGGGGGUGUGGUAGGAGGAUAAAUUUGUAUUUAGGAACAAAAUUUGUUUUAGGAGGGUUCCUUAGUUUGCUUAGUUCACCUCACUUAUCACAUGAGUCUCAUUCAUGGUGCUUGAUGUCAAAGAUGGGGGUUGAGAAAUGAGAGGUAUGUUUUCAAUGAAAUCUGCUCAUGUUGCUUUAUCUCCUGGUGUGUUAUCAUCACACCAACAAUUUUUUAACUAAUAAAUAUAUCUUACUGACUCAGCGACUAUUAUUAGAGUGCCAGCGGUUUAGAAAUUGCAUUGGUGCCUCUCGCAAGGUGCGAGUCUGGUAGUUCACCACACUGAAGUGUAAAUCUGUUUGUUUCUUCAACUGUUAAAUAAAAAACUGGCUCAGUUAUAAAACUGUGGUAAAUGGUUCAGUUUUUUACCGUGCAAUUGGGCGCAGUUCAUGGUUCAGUUUGGUUCAUAAAUGAUUUUUGAACAGGCCUAGUUCGCACAAGGGUAUGAGAGGUUUUUUUCCCACCCUAUAGUUUUUAAAAACCUGCUCCCGUUAGGGUCAGGAUUUACCCAUCUGGAUGUGAAAAACACCAUUUUUCCGGAUUUAUCCAUCCGGAGAAAAAAUAAUUGUUUUUUUUUCCGUCCAGAUCAAACAGGUAUAUUUUCAAUAAAUGAGUGGGUGAUACAAGUAGUUCUCCCGGAUUUAUUGACUUUAUAUGGAACAUUGCCCUUCCUAUGGCUACCUCUUGCAAACUAAUUUUCGUGGCACCAACAUAGUCCAGAAGCUAAACUUAAGAAAGCAAGAAAAAAAUCCCCUGCACAUCGAGUAAAACGAAAAUGAUCAUGUAUGUAUUGCACAGAUGACUGACUACAUCAAAUACGAAAAUCUAUAUUGAUAUCAGUAUAGUAAACAAUCUCUUAAAUGGCAUCCUAUAGUAAACAAUCAAGCACAAGGAGAGUAUUUCUAUGAGCUAAUUUAAUCAUUUCAUUUUAUUGACAGGAGGAAUUGAAGCUGGUUAGCUACAUGGAAAAAUGGAAAAUACAGCAUCGUUUUAAAUAGGUAUUGGAUGAAAAUUGUAUGAUAGAACAUUUGACAAACAGAAGCAUAAAAUGGCAUCUUCCUUAGUACCAUGCAAAUAUUAAACAGCGUCAUAUUCAUCACAUAAUAUAUAUAUUGUAAGCUUCAACAAAACUCG
rnacentral:lncRNA from 1 species